AGUGAACGCUGGCGGUAGGCCUAACACAUGCAAGUCGAACGGCAGCACAGUAAGAGCUUGCUCUUACGGGUGGCGAGUGGCGGACGGGUGAGGAAUACAUCGGAAUCUACUUUUUCGUGGGGGAUAACGUAGGGAAGCUUACGCUAAUACCGCAUACGACCUACGGGUGAAAGCAGGGGAUCUUCGGACCUUGCGCGAUUGAAUGAGCCGAUGUCGGAUUAGCUAGUUGGCGGGGUAAAGGCCCACCAAGGCGACGAUCCGUAGCUGGUCUGAGAGGAUGAUCAGCCACACUGGAACUGAGACACGGUCCAGACUCCUACGGGAGGCAGCAGUGGGGAAUAUUGGACAAUGGGCGCAAGCCUGAUCCAGCCAUACCGCGUGGGCGAAGAAGGCCUUCGGGUUGUAAAGCCCUUUUGUUGGGAAAGAAAAGCAGCAGGUUAAUACCCCGCUGUUCUGACGGUACCCAAAGAAUAAGCACCGGCUAACUUCGUG
rnacentral:rRNA from 1 species